GAUGAACGCUGGCGGCGUGCCUAAUACAUGCAAGUCGAGCGAACGGACGAGAAGCUUGCUUCUCUGAUGUUAGCGGCGGACGGGUGAGUAACACGUGGAUAACCUACCUAUAAGACUGGGAUAACUUCGGGAAACCGGAGCUAAUACCGGAUAAUAUUUUGAACCGCAUGGUUCAAAAGUGAAAGACGGUCUUGCUGUCACUUAUAGAUGGAUCCGCGCUGCAUUAGCUAGUUGGUAAGGUAACGGCUUACCAAGGCAACGAUGCAUAGCCGACCUGAGAGGGAGAUCGGCCACACUGGAACUGAGACACGGUCCAGACUCAUACGAGAGGCAGCAGUAGGGAAUCUUCCGCAAUGGGCGAAAGCCUGACGGAGCAACGCCGCGUGAGUGAUGAAGGUCUUCGGAUCGUAAAACUCUGUUAUUAGGGAAGAACAUAUGUGUAAGUAACUGUGCACAUCUUGACGGUACCUAAUCAGAAAGCCACGGCUAACUACG
rnacentral:rRNA from 1 species